GUCUGGUGUGGUGGAAUGCGCCUGUAGUCCCAGCUGCUCAGGCUGAGGUAGGGUGAUUGCUUGAGCCCAGGAGUUCUGGGCAUUUGUGUGCUAUGCCAAUUGGAUGUCUGCACUGAGUUUGCCAUGGUGACUUCAGGUGCAUAGAGGAUCACCAGGUUGCCCAAGGAGGGAACCAGCCCAGGUCAGAAAUAGAGCAGGUCAAAGCUCCACUGCUGAUUGAUAGUGGAAUGGUGCCUAUAAAUAGCCACUGCAUCCCAACCUGAGCAUAUAGCAAAACCUGGUGUCU
rnacentral:SRP_RNA from 1 species